AUAUAUAUAUAUAUCACAAUAUUACAGCUUAACUGUAUUUUUGUUUCUUUCUAAAACAUAAAAAAAUUGUAUCAACCCCAAACUUUUGAAUGGUACUGUAUAUAAAGGGAAAACACAUUCUGUAAGAAAAUACAAGAAAAACAGGAGGUUGUACUAAAACAUAAUUCCUUAAUGUUUGAAAAAUCAGUGAGGUAUAUGAGAAAUAUCAUCCUCUUUCUGGUGUAUGUUUGUGUUCCAGGUGUCUGGGUGUGUGUCUGGCCUUGUGCCCAGAGUACAGCUUGGUUCUGGAGGAUGAAUUGGGUGUAUGUGGGUGCGCUGAGGGUAUUCUGGAUGUUUGCUCCUUUGCCAAACAAUGUCAGGCCAACCGGCGACCUGCUAUGAAGGACAAAUAUCCUUCACACCCCAUGGAGCAAGUGGACAUAGUGCAACAAAGGGAAGCAUUAAAGCUGGACCCACAUCCACACUUUGGACAAAAUUUUUCCACAGUACUUUUAAAAUGGUGCAAUGGGAACAUCUAAUCUUGACAUUGCUUUAAUUGCAUAUUCUCCUCCAAACACCAAGGAGGCGCUGCUGUAUUUCCAUGAAGAAGAGGACUAUCCAUAAUCCUUGCUGUAUCAUUUCCCAUCUCAGCUCAUUUCAGAUUUUGUGAAGUCAGAGAAUGUCUAAUAUGGCGAGAAGUUUCACUCUCACUACACUUCCGGCUUCUGAACUGGUUGCAGAUCCACUCUGAUUCCAUAUGAGGGCGCUCACAGGAUGAGUGCAGAAUGAAUGGAGGUCAAUAACAGUAUAGCCCUCAAAAUCCACUUUUCUCAGGAUAUAAUUUUGUGUCUAGUAAUUUGAAUGUUGUAUUCGAAAGGAGAUGCAAAGAAAAUACACAUUGCUGGGUGUUAUAUUUUUAGAGUCACUUAUUUGCUUUAAAAAGUCUUUAAAAAUGUCAAUGACGUCAUACACAUCGUACGACCAGAGAUACUGCUUUACGGCGAUCCUUCAGUCACUUUGGUGCUUUCCAGAGCCAUUGAAAAAUGUAUUAUACAUACAAUUUGUAUAUAGCAAUCGAGUAAGGGAAGAGUCCCCCUCCCAACAACACGUAUCGUUACGAUCUGUAGUAGCCCGUGCAACCUGGCCGAUUUUGGACAUUAGCCAACUUGGCAUUUGGCCAACUUUCCCUCCCACAUGUACCACCGUAAAUUCAGGUAGGGUUUGACAAUUAACAGUCCACAUGGGUUACCUUUUUUCGUCCUUGGGAAAUGAGAAAUAGGACAACACUUGCCCACUAUUAGAACAAUUUAUCAUUGCACACCUGUGAGGCAUUUUUUUUCAGUUUUAAAUUUUUACUGAUAUUUAGCACUAUUGAGCGUGACAUUUGUUUGUGUUUUUUAAAGUGGCAAUACUAUACCAUAUGUAUCUGGUAUUUCCUAACACAAGAAUAAAAAAAAAGUACUCAAAUUCAAUUAAUUUUCCUUUAAAUUUCACAGUACAUACAUAACAAUAGGCAGAUAAAAGUUCCAGCAACCAAAAAAAAAAGUUGCUGAGUUGAAAAGAAAAACUUAGGCGAAAAAGUCCGCCUUAACAUUCUGAUCCCGCUGAUUCUGAUUCGGAUGCCAUCAAUCAGUAUCUCUUGUCAUAAUCAGUCCUUCACUGACCAAUCAGCAUUCAUUAGUAGAAUGCUAGCGUUGUUAUGGGCAACAACAACUCAACCUGUAAGAAAUCGAAAGCACAUAAGUAGGCCUACUUGUUCUUUCAACUUUCGACCUAUAAGCCAUGUUGAACUUGCAAAACCCACAAUCAGAUCUGAGAUUUCUCGACGGCAAUCGGGUGAAAGGGACAAAUUUAGCCCCAUAGACUCCCAGUCAUUUUGCACUCAUGGCGAUCGCCCCCAGUGGAACUCUGAUGGAACUGCAACCAAAAUUCGGUACAAUAGGACUUAAUAGGGAGUGGGAAGGCUCUCCGUAGACGGGCUCAAAUCCAAAAUCAAAUCCAAGAUCAGAUUAAACAAAAAUAUUGCACUAUGAUGAUCUGCAAUUUUAGAAGGCUCUUUAAGCAUUUUCAUUUAGGAGAAUAACAUAAAAUUGCACUUGGACUGAUUUGUUUUGGAGCUUUUAUUGGUUCACAUAAACCUUUGGCUCUGCUUUUGUGGAUAAUAAAACUUGCUCUUUUUAUUGAGAGUGUCUGUUAUGAGACCUCUAUACAUCAGUUGCAUUCGUACUGCCCACAGACCAUUGCUUGUAUGAGCGCAAUUUCUGUUCUGGUGAGGUUACUUUUUCAUUUGCGAUUCUGUAUUCUUUCAGGAUUUUCCACUCUGAGCAACAGCAUCAGCGUGCCUGUAAGAGUAGCAGCCCAACUGCUUGCUGGGUGACCCUCCUGCACAGAUGAGAGGGAAAUAAACAAAAACUGUCCAAAUACAGAGGGUGUGCUAGACAGAGAGAGAGAGAUGUGUGUGUGUGUCUACUCAUAACUCCUAGCAGGUUGCUCAAGGCGAUGUCUGUCUAAGCUGAAAGCAAGGCUGCAGAGAGAAUUAAUAAUUUAGUCGCAGAAAAAAUAACUCUACAAAAGACCUGUGUCUGUGCAUUACUCACUGCUUGCAAUAAAUAAGAGAUGUGCUCAGGGUUUUUUGAAUGGGAGUUUGGUUAAAUCCCCUAAAAUAAUGUUUGUGCCCUGUUAAAAAAAAAAAAAAAAACUACAUAUCCUGGUUAGGUAUGUUGUGGUAUGGUAUUUUUGGGAUGUUGGUUGGAUCUGGUUUAAGUUGGUCCUUAACUGGUCAUGUGCUGGUCCUAAACUGGCCGACCAUUUUUUCAACAGAUUCAUACAAGCUCAAGAUACUUUCCCCUUGUAUUCUACAACAUAAAACACACCAGUUACACCCCACUCAUGAUUUUUUUAACUGUUAAGUCUCUUUAAAAAGACAGUUGCUAACAAGUUUCUAAUUGGGACUACAGUAAAUACAUUAAAUGCCAUCACGCUGAACAGCUUAGCAAUUUACAGUAUUUUCCAAUCGUAUAAUUCAUAGUAUAAUUAAUUGUAGAAUAACCAAUUAAUAGUUUCACACAUUUAAUAUUGUUGUUCGACAAUUUGUUAUUUUGUUGUUUUUUUUAACAUUUUUUUUCCGAGUUUGUAGUUCUGAACCAAGUCAUUUGUCAAAGCGCAAUGUAUUGUGGGUAAUUUCAGCCAUCAGAGUGUGCAAGGAUCCACACUUCAAAAUCGACCUGAAAUAGUAGAACAUCUUCAGAUUAAGUGAUCUUUAACAGAUCUUGCUGACGUUCAUGUGCUAUCUGGUUAUUUUUGUAGCCCAAACCCAGAAACAAAUUAGCCUUUUAGCACUUUCAGCUUCAUUGUACUUUUUUUUAUGGGUUUUUGGCUAAAUGCCUGAAAAAAAGGUCAGAUUUUUUUUUUCGUAUGUUCUGUGACAUAAAAUACAUCAGUUACCAUUUUCUAAGCUUUUAUAUCCCUAAAAAAGACGUUGCUAUGUCUGAAAUGUCUGAAUGGGACUACAGAGGUUGCCUUGGACUUUUAUAAUUGCACUUUUGCUAACUAUUCCUGCUCAAUCUUUCAGGGAUUGUUUUAAAAUAAAGACUGAAAGGGUUAAUGGUGGUGAUCUUGAAGUCAUGUGACCAUGGUGUAGUUUGUUUAUAGCCUAUGUUUAAGUUUUUACUUCUUGUAAUUGUAUUUAGACCUCAAAUUCAUAAAAGAUGUGCUCAUUUGAGAAGAGUUUCAUGAUCAACAAAACAUGUAAGUGAUUACACACUAAAUCCCCGAUCAGGCAUUUAGGAAGGGGGCUUUGGUUUGUCUGGUUAGCAGUUAACCCCUGCUGGUAGAGCUAUGGUCUACUGCACUAUUAUGCUAGCAAAAUCCAUGGCUCUGGUGAUCAGAUAAAACUAGUUUGUCUCUGAAACAGAGUGGCUAGUGAGUGACUAUGACAGCAUCACCUUCUCCAUGACUGCAUGUGCUGUCUGAGCAACUGCCAUUGAGAUGAAUAUGAAUAGGAAUGCUACCGGAUAGCUCUCUUCAGGUAUUUUGACUUCCUUACCAUGGUUGUGUUCAGACUGAAAUACUAGCAUACUGCUAACUCUGUCUUGCAUGGGCCGUGUUGCCUACUUUAUGUGAACCUGUGAGUAAUGUGCAGCAAUAAAGGUUUCAACUUGUAUUACACUAAACUUCAUUAAGAAGGUAUUAUGUGUCUUAUAUGAUGUACUGGUAUUUUGUAAAAUAAUUUUUGCUGGUGUACACAAAUGUAUUUAAGUGGUUCUUGAUUGUAGUUCUGAUAGUGAACUGAAGGUGGCAAUGUAUAUUCAUUACUGAAUAUAGUUUUUGGUCUACAGUAGCUGCCCUCAUGUUCCUGUCCAAGCCUUCAGACUUCACUAAACGCCCACCCUUCCCUAGAGCUUUCUUGUAUUGUAGCACGUCUUCUUUCUCUCUGUUUCUCUUUGCAUUUUUCACAGCAUGAAUCUAUUCAAUAAAACCCAAGAACCCGCCUUUAAUGGUAUAUGAUAUUUUUUUUUAUUUGCAUGGCCACAUGCUCACAUUUGAUAACUUCUUUGCCUUAUUAGCAGGCAGGGCUCUGGAAUUAAUAAUAUUCAACAGUAUUAUUUUGGAAAAAUAAAUUUGCUUAUAUAUGUCAUCAUGAGCAUUUUUAGCACCCUUUUCCAUUUUGAUAUGGUUUUUCUGUCUGGAUCCACAUACUGAACAAGCAAAUUUCACCCGAUUCUCACUGACAGAAGAUUAAAAUGCAUACAAGUUAUUCAGCAGUUAACCUUCAAAAAGAAAGCCGUGUUCACCUUCCCCUCAAUUUACCCAGUUUUUUAUUUGAACAGCAGCAUUCAGAACAUGGAUUGGCUUUCAAGAGCUCUUGCUCUCUCAGAUGAUACAUGGAAUAACACAUAUACCAUUCGUUUUUCUUGCCCAUAGUGCAGCUAUACAGAACUGGCUCCUUUCAGUAAAUGAGGUUUAGUCUGAAUCAUUCAUUUGCUAAAGAAUUAUAUCUAUCUCUCUGUAUGUCUGUCUGUCUGUUUGUCUACGUUCUAACUGAAUACAUUUAGUUUAAUUUGGAUCCUUGAUCAUUUAAUUUAAUUUGGUGUAUAGAGUAAUAAAGAUUUGACAUGAAUAUAGAGAUGUUCAGCAUAUAAAAUAUACACAAUUGUACUAACAGUACAUUAUUUAGCAAGGACACUUUCAAUUUAUCAAAAGUGACAGGAAAGACAUUUAUAAUGUUAAAAUGCUGUUCUUUUGAACUCACUAUUCAUAAAAGAAUUCUGAAAGAACCGAUAUUGUUUCCACAAAUAUAGUCAUCAGAACAACUGUUUUCAACACUGAUAAUACUAAGAAAUGUUUCCUGAGCAGCAAAUCAAAAUAUUAGAAUGAUUUUGGAAGGAUCAUGUGAUAGUUGGGGUCACUUCAUCUACAGUGAUAUCGUUGACUUGAUUGCAAAUAAAUCCACAGACACUAUUUAACUGAACAGAGAUGACAUCACUGAAUUCAAUGAUGAACUGCCUUGGCUUUAACUAUCAUUUUUCAUUAUUGACACACUGUUUUCCUAAUGAAUGUUGUUCAGUUGCUUUGACGCAAUGUAUUUUGUUUGAAGCGCUGUAUAAAUAAAAGUGACUUGACUUGACUAUUGAAGAGUGGAAUAAUGGCUGCUGAAAAAAUAGCUCUACCAUAGGAAUAAAUUACAUUUUAAAAUAUAUUCAAAAGUUAUUUUUACAUUGUAAUAAUAUUUCAGAUUAUCACUGUUUACACUGUAUUUAUGUCUUAUGAGACUUGCAAUCCCCAUACAUCUCCCUUACACAAAUCUUACCAUCCCCAAACUUGUGUAUAUAAACGGCAGUGUAUAUAAAAUUAAAGAAGUGUAAGUGUGUGUAAUGUAUGUAUUCUUUAGUCUUUAGUUUCAACAAGGUUAAUGAAAUAUAUAUAUAUAUAUAUAUAUAUAUAGUUAAAAAAUAAAAAAAAAUAUUUUACUAUUUUAUAAAAGGCCAACUUACUUAUGUAUGCAUUGAAAUGAAAUGAAAAAAAAAAAAAGCUCCAGUGGGAAACAUUUGAAUGCAUCCUUCUGACUGUACUUCUGGGUCUCUUUGUUUCAUUGUUCUGUACUGAAGCACUCCCAGUAAAAGGACUGCCGAUAAAAGAGCUCGGAGAUGAAAACCUAGCAUCAGCAGCAGAAGGAAGGACACGCCCAGAAUACUCUUUCCCAUCUGAACAGGAAAGCAAUGUCACCCAGGAGGCUCAUACCGUCUGUUCACUCUCCUUUUCUCUCAGAUAUUUGCCUCCUUUUUAUAAAUAAAUGUGUUUUUUUGUUGUUUUUUUAGCAUGACAUUAAUCAGUUUGCAUGCUUUUUACAUUCUCACACAAGCAGCCUGUUGACAGGUUUACAGAUCUCAAGCUGUUACAAAUUGGUAAACAUCCAUAGACGACAUACUAAUUAUAAAACAGAUUGUGUUGUGUGGAAAAUUUCAAUUUCUACUGUGAUGGAGUGUCACUGAAAUAGUUUGAGAUUUGAAAAAUAGAUUUGAAAGAUUGCUUCUCAACCACACACAGACACAAUCUUGAGUGCAGCAGAGGAUCUGGUCUUCAUUUCCAACACAAAUGCUGUGAAUCACAAAGCAUGCAAUAUAUAUUUUUUAAUGUUUUCAUAACUAAUCUCUGAUCCAGUUAUAUAACGCUUACAAUGUACUGAUAUGUGCUUUCUAUGCAAUUCUAUCACCUAUAUUCAACAUCUGUGACCCAGAAUGGAUUCAUUGUAUUCCUAGUUUCAGUAUCACCAUGGUUACAGGUUGGUUUUUGUGCAUCCGUGUGUGCAGGAUCAUCAGUUGUGCGCCCGUGCUUUACCUUCAGUGGAUUUAUACUAUGAGUCAUGUAGAGAGGACAGCAUGAGCAGCUUGUCUCAUUAUCAGUGCACCACACCUCAUGCUGCGAGUCCCUAGUCAGUUUCGAUUUAGUGAAAUCUCUAGACAAACAAACAUGUAAACCACUUUUAGUCUAUUGCACUUCCUUACGACUCUUCCUACAAUUAAACCAAAACCACUAAAGUUAAUAUGUUUGCUGUGAAGGGUCUUCAGAAUUAAUCGUAGACUUAAUUUAUUGUAGAUUAGAGGUUUUUAUGUAUGGUACAAAAGGAGUGACAUGAUACAUAAUUCAAGUUUGAUCAGGUCUGCUGCCAGGUUCCUGAGCAUCAUAUUCUUUAAAGUGAUGACACUUAAUGUUCUCUAAUUGUGAACGAUACAUCAGUUAUUCCAUUUCAAACCGCUCAAAAAAUUUAGUUUCAGCUCAUGAGGUGGACAAUCACAUGACCAGCAAUCAGCACAGCAGCUUGAUCAAGAACUCUGGAAAUCUUGUAAAGAGUGUCCAUUUCUCUGUAGGCUUCUGACUGGUAAAAUACAGAUGUAAUCUCAUACUGCAGUAAGAGAGAAAUUCUACACCAGGGAAUCAUUAAUCAAUAAAAAAAAGAGGAGAAUGGGAUGGUAAGAUGAGUGGAGGAAUAAGUAUUGAUUAAAUGGUGAGGAUGUUUAAAGUGUGUCUUCAGAUCUUUGUGAAGUUCCCACAAGGCUCGUUGGCACAUGUCUACCCCCCAUUUCCCACCCCCUGCUGCCCAAAUAAUACAACUUUUGAAAGUGUGAUUUUGCCCAAAUAAAAUAAGAAAAUCCAUGGGCAUUCAAAAAUGAAUUGAGAAUGUCUUUUAAUUUCAAUUCCUGAAUUUGCAGGUAUCGUAUAGGAUACAGAAAUUUCAAUCUAAUUCAUUGAAACAGUACUUUUAGUCUAGAGAAGUACGCUCUUUACACUACUGUGUGGGAUUUGUUUUUUCAAAAAUAUUUUUCAUGCUCACUAAGGCUGCAUGUAUUUGAUCAAAAAUCCAAAAAUCCAAAACAGUAUUUUCAGCAGCCAUUACCUCAGUCUUCAGAGUCACAUGAUUCUUCAAAUCAUUCUGAUUUGCUGCUCAUGAAACAUUUCACAUUAUAACAUGAGACGUAAUAAAACAGUUAUGCUGCUUAAUGUUUUUGGAAAACAUGAUACAUUUUUAUCAGGAUUCUUUGCUAAAUGAAAUUAAAUGUAAACAAAACGAAUUAACUUUGAAAAGAAAUAUUUAAUAAGAUCAUACAUGCCUUCUGAUCAAUGUAAAGCAGCCUUACGGAAUGAGAGUAUUAAUUUCUCUCAAUCAAUCAAUAAAAUGAUAUAAAUAAAUAAUUCAGAUCCCAGAUUUUGAACAGCAGUGUAUGCACCGAGGGCCCUGAUGUUCAGCUUCCUUUAUCAGUCUCAGAACGUCCGGUCAGAGACUUUAGAGGCCCCUGACAGUCUGAGGCACUGGCUCCGUUGGCCCCAUCCAUAAUCCAGCACUGCUUUCUCUCCUUCUGUCCAACUGUCUUCUACGGUUCAAAUCUCUAGCAAUCUGAACCCUUUCCAAAUUAAAUGUAAAUGUUCUGCUAACACACAAACAGGGCAAGAGAGAAGGAAAAAGUCAGAAAAGGGUUUUUUCCUUUCUAAGAUCAACCCCCUCAUUACUACAGGGCAUAAUAAACAGCUAUCUGACAUACAUGGAUAACCACAGGGUCCCUGAUAAGCCCAGACACUUCCUGCGCCUUUAUGGAAGAUUACAUGAGAGCUUUGAAGUUUGUGAGUGUGAAACACACUGCAGGGGAUGAAAUGAAAGUGUGUAUUGCGUGUUUGUGGGUGUUGUGCUGGGGAUGAGGUACCUUACAUCAGUCUCUUCUACCUACUCCACACACACACACACACACAGUCUAUUCAACCUCUUUAGUGUCUUCGAUGACUCAUUUGUCUCUGUACGGCUGUGUAUAAAAAAUAAAAGAGAAAGAAAGACUGUGCCUGUGUAUACAAGAGAGUAGAUGAGUGAAAGGGUAAAAACACUGUCCAUGGUCUGGUAAACGCAACAGUAAAACUGGACAAUUACCUUGCGAUAAUUGCAACUAAUCAUCUUCUGCAAUGUAGGCCUUUGAGGAAAUCUGUUUGCAGGCUGCUUUAGCAGAGUAAAUCACAGCUACACAACCAGAAUAAUCAGCACAAAGCCCUAGAUAACCCAAUAUUUACACAACAAUGUUUGACUCAUUCUGUUCAUGCAUUUAUCUCAGUUCCACAUCAUCCCAAACCAUCAUGCACAUGCUCCAAAAAAAUAAUAGAUGUGUCUCUUUCAUAGCUCAAAAUCGUUAUCAUAUUAUGUUUAUAAUUAACUUAGGUUACUUGUUAAAUCAGAUUUCCAUUCAAUCUCUUUGGGGUCAAGGUGAAACGUUUGAGAUAUUAUUUCUGCAAAACAUUGUUCUGCUGAUAUUCGAUCCAGUACGAUUUUAUUGUUUUUGAAAGCCGCUUAUACUCACCAAGGCUGCAUUUAUUUGACCAAUAUAAAAACAAUAUUGUAAAUAAUUUCAAAUAACUGUUUUCGAUAUUUAAAAAAAAAUGUAAUUUAUUCCUGUGAUAGAGCUUAUAUUUUCAUUCUAACAUGCUAACUUGCUGCUCAAGAAACAUGUUUAUCAAUAUUGAAAACAGCUGUGCUGCUUAAUACUUUCCUUUGCCAUUACAUUAAUAAAUUACAUUUAAUAAAAUAUAUUAAAACAGAAGACAGCUUUUUUUAUUGUAAUAGUCUUUCACAGUUUUACUGUUUUAAUAAUAUGUGAUCAAAUAAAAUGAAGCAAUGGUGAACAUAACUAACAUCUUUCGAAAACAAUUUUUGAUUAAAAAAAAGAAUCUGAAUUUUUUUGAUAAAUAGAAAGUUAAAGAACAGCAUUUAUUUGAAACAGAAAUAUUCUGUGACAUUAUAAAUGUCUUCUGAUCAAUUUAAAUAAUCCAUGCUGAAUACAAAUAUUAAUAAAAAAGAUUACGUUAAAAGAUUGUUUUGGCAACUUUUACAAGUACACAAGCAUAUAAAUUAAAGUCUUGCACAUUUACUGAUAUAUAUUUUAAUACUGCUAUUAUACCCGUUAUAAUGUUGUGCAUGAAUCAUUUGCGGACUCAAGCUAGAUAUAAUAUGAUCCAAUAUUAAAAGCCUAUUUUAAUGUGCUUUUAACUUUGCUGCUUUCACAUUGAAUAUUCAUGACAGUGAGUGAUACAAACAGAUACAAUAUAACCAAAUUAUCUUCCAUUAUCUCUUUCAGCCCUGUGCACCCAUCAUUAACAGAUCAAGCUGUCACCAUGAAGACGUGGUAAAAGCACAGAUGCUAUUUAGUGCAUAAAUAUGUACGCUAUAAACAGACCAUAACAGUCAGUUGCUUGCUAUCUAUCUAUCUAUCCGUGUCAAAUAUAUGUCAAAGAAAGCGGACCAGCCAAAUGCGACCUAAUGUAAUGCCAUAAAUAAGCAAGAAUAAAGCAUCAAAACACACACCACUUUGUUUUUGUGAAUUGUAGAUACAUUCAAUUGGCAUAAUGGUUUUUAGCUGUACAAACCAUAUUUUACACCAACCCUACAACUAAACCUCACAGGAAACGGUGCACAUUUUUACUUUCUCAAAUAAACUCAUUCUGUAUGAUUUAGAAGCCUAUUGAAAAAUGGGGACAUGAUGUAAUUUCCUCAUAAGUCACCCUCUGCUUGUAAUACCCAUGUCAUUAUAAAAAUUUGUGUCCUGAGGUCACAAAAACACACACGCAGGAGAGACGUGAAAUGGCAGGAUGAAGAAGAUGGAUGGAGGAAGGAAUGGACCACUGUGUGUGAAGAUAAAUGUUGAAGAGGCUAAACAGGAAGAUGACAAAUAAAAAGGCAGAGCUAUGGGGAAUGAAAGGGAGAGUGAGGGACAAUAAAAUAAAACCUAAUCAAUAAGAUGACAGGAUAGAUAUUGCAUGAGUGGAAAGUAAUUUGAGUUUUGUAUGCGUCAAUGCUCAUAUUUUUUCUGUCAUUCUGUUUCUUCCUCUCACUUGCGUGGAACAUGGAGCUGGGUGUGGUUGGUGCUCUCUGGCGCCUCUGGUGGCUGUGCAGGAUAGUUUGGAAAACAUGGGGUUUGAAGUGCAAGUACAGACCAGAUACAGCAGGACGACGGUGUUAAAGGGGAAGAUACUCACUGGUAAAUCCCAGUGGGCCAAAAAUGAAGCCAAGCUGCUGUAAAGAAAGGCUCGAAGACAGCAGAAGCCAGCAGUGCCAUUCUCCAGCAGAGCUCAAAGGUUCCAUCAGCAUUCCAUUAAAACCAUGAAUGCCACUGGAGACUUCACUGCACACACACGCAUGUGAGAUCAGAAUCAGCAUGAGCUUCUCUUCUAGCCACUCGUGUCUUGUGCUUAGAUAACAUGGGCUUUUCACAACACCAGGGGUAUUCUUAGAUUCAAACUUAAAUGCAGAUACAGCUACCGUAUGUGUUUUCUGUAUGCAUGACAAUGUUUUGUGUGUGUGUGUGCGCGCGUGUAAUAAUAUUAAAUUGAAGACAAAUUAAGAUUUCAGCAUGAGCACUGUAGUCCAAUUCCUGAAGAAUGGCUCUCGAGCCAGUUCUUUUUUUGUUUGUUAAUAGCAAACUGCAAUAAUAAAUCUGAUUCCCGCACAAAAGACUCUUAUGAUUCUCUUCAGUAAAUCAGUAACAUACAGUGUUGCAAAGUACUCUAACUCUUCAACGAAUGACUCCUAUAUUGUUCUUUUUAACAAAAACAAACUGUGUUAUCAACAAAGUCUAAUUCCCACAUGAAUGGCUCUUAUGAGGUGGUUCGAUCUAGUGAAAUAGUCUUCUGAGCCAGUUGUGUUUAACUAAUCAGUAACAUUGAUUUACUGCAGAAUAAACUGUAUUCUGACUCAUGUAUCCAUUCUUUUUUAACACAAGCAAACAGCACAUCCAAUGAUGUUACUUUUAUGAGCCAUUCUUUUUAUUGAAUCAAAUGCACAGCGCAACCAGUGAAGUUCAGUUCAAGAAGGAGUGAAUCCGUCAAGGAAUUGACCAGUUAUUUUUAGAGAAUCAAUCGACAAAAUUAGGUCACAAAAAUUCUGUGAAGUGUACUGACUCGUACUGCUUAGGAAUUGUAUAAAAUGUAUUUUUUAGUUUGUUAAAUGUGCUUUGUUAAAAAUCAUCUCAUCAUCAGUUGAAAAUUGUUACACUGCUGCUUGUCAAGACUGCAGCUGUAAAAGCAGUUUGUGUCCUCGAGGUUUGUUUUUGUAGGUUUGCACCUUGUGUUUUGGUGUAUUCUGUAAUAAAUAAUAUAUGGAA